UGAAACAGGAACUAAACAGGAUUCCUCAGUAACGGCGAGUGAAGCGGGAAGAGCCCAGCGUCGAAUCUCCCGGGCCAUUGCUACCCGGGCGAGGUGUGACGUUAGAGUCAGUGGAAUCGGCCCUACUACUUCUGCGCCUAAGUCCUCGUGACUGUGGCCUUUUUCCCAGAGCGGGUGUCAGGCCUUUAAGGAGCGAGGGAACGGGUCUUUUCUGCUGACUUCCGAGUCGGGUUGUUUGAGAAUGCAGCCCUAAGUGGGUGGUAUACGCCAUCUAAGGCUAAAUACGAGCACGAGUCCGAUAGCGAACAAGUACCGUGAGGGAAAGUUGAAAAGGACUUUGAAGAGAGGGUUCAAGAGUGCGUGAAACCGUAUAGAGCACAAGCGGGUGGUCCUGUAUGCUCGAAAUACGCGGGGUUUCAGCUCGGUCAGUAUCUUUCCUUGGGCCUGGUGGACUGGCGAGCCCCUCGAGGGUUGGCCGGACCGCAGGGCUCCAGCGGGAGGGAGAGGGCUGGGUGUAUUCUCCGCGGUCAGAGCGUCGCGACCGGUUGUUCGGUGGUCAGAAGGCCGGAGGGAAGGUAGGUCGGGUUCCAUCAGUGCUGCCCUGGCCCACCACGCCGGGGCGGCCGGGACUUGUCAAGACAACUUAUAGCCCACCGGAGAUAGCCACUGGGCGACCGAGGGGUCUCGUGUGCCCUCCUCUCAAGGGCGGGACCUGGUGGCUCGUGCAGAGGGCCGAGGGAGGAAUGCCGGCGGACUCUCCGCCAGGAGAGACUGCUGGUGCCUGCCUUGGUUGCGCUGCGUGGGCGCGCCGGGCCCAUAGCCGAGGGGUAUGUGCUCGGGUCCGCGACUUGUCAGUAGGCUACCCGGCCCGUCUUGAAACACGGACCAAGGAGUCCGACACGUGCGCGAGUCAUGGGGUCCUACGAAACCCAAAGGCGCAACGAAAGUGAACGGCAAGAUCCCCACCGUAGGUGGACGGGGCGCAUUGCCCACCUGUCUGUUGAUCAGGCGGCGUGUGAGCGCACGUGUCGGGACCCGAAAGAUGGUGAUCUAUGCCUGAGGGGGAUGAAGCCAGAGGAAACUCUGGUGGAGGUCCUUAGCGAUUCUGACGUGCAAAUCGAUCGUGUCACUUGGGUAUAGGGGCGAAAGACCAAUCGAACCAUCUAGUAGCUGGUUCCCUCCGAAGUUUCCCUCAGGAUAGCUGGCGCUCGAGUUACGCAGUUGCAUCCGGUAAAGCGAAUGAUUAGAGGUCAUGGGGGCCUAGCGUCCUCGUCCUAUUCUCAAACUAUAAAUCGGGUGUGAUGCCGCGCCUCUCCCUGAGUAAACCCAGGGGAGGCCGGGCUGGAAUGCGAGUGCUUAGUGGGCCAUUUUUGGUAAGCAGAACUGGCGCUGUGGGAUGAACCAAACGUGCGGUUAAGGCGCCUAACUGGACGAUGAUGAGAUCCCAGAAAAGGUGUUGGUCGAUAGAGACAGCAGGACGGUGGCCAUGGAAGUAGGAAUCCGCUAAGGAGUGUGUAACAACUCACCUGCCGAAUCGAGCAGCCCUGAAAAUGGAUGGCGCUGGAUCGUCCGGCCUAUACCGCACCGUCCAGUCAUUUAAGAGCCCUUUUCUUCCACGGGAAUCAGGGCUGGACGAGUAGGAGGGCGCCGAGGUAGCGCCGAAGCUUCUGGCGUGAGCCCAAGUGGAGCUGCCUCGGGUGCAGAUCUUGGUGGUAGUAGCAAAUAUUCUAAUGAGAACUUUGAAGGCUGAAGUGGAGAAGGGUUCCAUGUGAACAGUGCUUGGACAUGGGUUAGUCGGCCCUAAGAGCAAGGAGAAAUCCUACCAUCGGGAGAAUGCUUGCGUAACCAUCAGUUCUAGUACCUGACUGUCUUUUCUCGCUAAGGACGGACGGAGAAGGAGCGACGCGCAGGCCUCUCGGGCUCGAAAGGGAAUCUGGUUAAUAUUCCAGAACCCAGCACGCGAGAUGGGAGCGUGGCGCGCGGGGUUGUAUAACCUUCCGCCGUCCAAGGGCUCACGCCUCUUCAAUGGAGUGAGCACUCCCGGUGCGGCAACGCAAACGAAGUCGGAGACGUCGACGGGGGUCCUGGGAAGAGUUUUCUUUUCUUUGUAAGGGAUCCCGUCCCCCGGAAAUGUGUCGAACAGAGAAGGGGCUUAGGGUUGGCCACCAGGCUGCUCCCGUAAAGCACCGCGCCUCCCCGCGGUGUCCGGUGCGCUCUCGUCGACCCUUGAAAAUCCGACGGAGACGACGUUAAUCUCGUGCUGGUCCGUACCCACAUCCGCAUCAGUCUCCAAGU
rnacentral:rRNA from 1 species